CACCCGAUAGCACACGGUGUGCACCUGCUCUCAUUGCAAGGGACUGAUGGAGUUGUAAGCAGGAGGCCCCCGUUCGACUCGGGGUCGGGUGA